rnacentral:tRNA from 2 species
UCCCCGAUGGCACAAUUGGCUAGCGCGUCAGACUGUUACUAUCCGACCUGGUUCAUGAGACCAGCAGCGAUGGAUAUCUGGAGGUUGGUGGUUCGAGCCCACCUCGGGGAG